rnacentral:rRNA from 1 species
UACGUAGGGGGCAAGCGUUGUCCGGAAUUAUUGGGCGUAAAGAGCGCGUAGGCGGUCCGAUAAGUCGGCUGUGAAAGUCAAGGGCUCAACCCUUGGAAGCCGGCCGAUACUGUCGGACUAGAGUCCGGAAGAGGCGAGUGGAAUUCCCGGUGUAGCGGUGAAAUGCGCAGAUAUCGGGAGGAACACCAAUGGCGAAGGCAGCUCGCUGGGACGGUACUGACGCUGAGGCGCGAAAGCGUGGGGAGCAAACAGG